AGCGAACGCUGGCGGCAGGCCUAACACAUGCGAGUCGAACGAAGUCUUCGGACUUAGUGGCGGACGGGUGAGUAACACGUGGGAACGUGCCUUUAGGUUCGGAAUAACUCAGGGAAACUUGUGCUAAUACCGAAUGUGCCCUUCGGGGGAAAGAUUUAUCGCCUUUAGAGCGGCCCGCGUCUGAUUAGCUAGUUGGUGAGGUAAAGGCUCACCAAGGCGACGAUCAGUAGCUGGUCUGAGAGGAUGACCAGCCACAUUGGGACUGAGACACGGCCCAAACUCCUACGGGAGGCAGCAGUGGGGAAUCUUGCGCAAUGGGCGAAAGCCUGACGCAGCCAUGCCGCGUGAAUGAUGAAGGUCUUAGGAUUGUAAAAUUCUUUCACCGGGGACGAUAAUGACGGUACCCGGAGAAGAAGCCCCGGCUAACUUCGUGCCAGCCGCCGCGGUAACAC
rnacentral:rRNA from 1 species